rnacentral:rRNA from 1 species
AUUGAACGCUGGCGGCAUGCCUUACACAUGCAAGUCGAACGGUAACGGGCCUUCGGGUGCCGACGAGUGGCGAACGGGUGAGUAAUGCAUCGGAACGUACCUUUCAGUGGGGGAUAACGUAGCGAAAGUUACGCUAAUACCGCAUAUUCUGUGAGCAGGAAAGCAGGGGAUCGCAAGACCUUGCGCUGAUUGAGCGGCCGAUGUCAGAUUAGCUAGUUGGUGAGGUAAAGGCUCACCAAGGCGACGAUCUGUAGCGGGUCUGAGAGGAUGAUCCGCCGCACUGGACAUGAGACACGGUCCAGGAUCCUACGGGAGGCAGCAGUGGGGAAUUUUGGACAAUGGGGGCAACCCUGAUCCAGCCAUGCCGCGUGAGUGAAGAAGGCCUUCGGGUUGUAAAGCUCUUUCGGCCGGGAAGAAAUCGUAUGGGCUAAUACCCUGUGCGGAUGACGGUACCGGCAUAAGAAGCACCGGCUAACUACGUGCCAGCAGCCGCCGUAACAC